rnacentral:rRNA from 1 species
GGUUGACCUCGGAUCAGGUAGGAAUACCCGCUGAACUUAAGCAUAUCAAUAAGCGGAGGAAAAGAAACCACAGGGAUUACCCUAGUAACGGCGAGUGAAGCGGUAACAGCUCAAAUUUGAAAUCUGGCCUUCACCGGUCCGAGUUGUAAUUUGUAGAGGAUGUUUCGGGCAAGGCACUGGUUUAAUUUCUUGGAACAGAAUGUCGUAGAGGGUGAGAGUCCCGUCUAGAACCGACCGCCGCGUCCAUGUGAAACUCCUUCGACGAGUCGAGUUGUUUGGGAAUGCAGCUCAAAAUGGGUGGUAAAUUUCAUCUAAAGCUAAAUAUUGGCCAGAGACCGAUAGCGCACAAGUAGAGUGAUCGAAAGAUGAAAAGUACUUUGAAAAGAGAGUUAAACAGUAUGUGAAAUUGUUGAAAGGGAAGCGCUUGCAACCAGACUUGCGUGUAGCGGCUCCCCCAGUCUUCUGGCUGGGCUAUUCCGUUAUAUCCAGGCCAGCAUCGGUUCGGGUGGUCGGUCAAAGGCCCCGGGAAUGUAUCUACCUUCGGGUCGACUUAUAGCCCGGGGUGUAAUGCGGCCUACCCGGACUGAGGAACGCGCUUCGGCUCGGAUGCUGGCGUAAUGGUUGUAAGCGGCCCGUCUUGAAACACGGACCAAGGAGUCUAACAUCUAUGCGAGUGUUAGGGUGUCAAACCCUUGCGCGUAAUGAAAGUGAACGGAGGUAAGAACCCUCACGGGCGCAUUAUCGACCGAUCCUGAUGUCUUCGGAUGGAUUUGAGUAAGAGCAUAGCUGUUGGGACCCGAAAGAUGGUGAACUAUGCCUGAAUAGGGUGAAGCCAGAGGAAACUCUGGUGGAGGCUCGCAGCGGUUCUGACGUGCAAAUCGAUCGUCAAAUUUGGGUAUAGGGGCGAAAGACUAAUCGAACCAUCUGGUAGCUGGUUCCUGUCGAAGUUUCCCUCAGGAUAGCAGUAACGUUUUCAGUUUUAUGAGGUAAAGCGAAUGAUUAGAGGCCUUGGGGU